ACAGUUCCUCGUAGUUUUGACCUGCUGAAACGGAGAAAAUUGCAAUUGGGUGGAGAAAAGAUUUGAUCAAAUGGCUUCUAGAACCAGUAGCAAGAUUUCAGUGAAUUUAUGUUGAAUAUUCUUGGCACAAAAAAUGCCAACAGGUCUGGCUGUGUUCAAGGAUGAGUCAAAUCUACAUUGUAUUUGAUUGGACAUUCCUAACAUUUUGAAAUGGUGAAUAUAUUAUAUUAUAUAUAUAUUGUCAAAGACAAAAAAAGAUCCUUUCCCUAAGGGUGUGUCUGAAUGGGUAUCUAACAACUGAUCUCCAGCAGUUAAUAUUAUGUCCUAAUGUUUGUUACCAAUGGCAUUGAAUUCAAUUUUAUCAGUUUAUAUGUGAUGGCAACUUACAAAACAAAGCCAAACAGACAAAAGCAGAUUUUGAAUAAGAUUUUCAGACUUACAGUUGGAAGGGUGUGGUUUUCUUGUUUGUUUUUUUCCUCACAGACGAUAUUUUGUUUGUUAUAAAAUGAAGUUUCAGUUGCUUCAAACUGUUCAUGAAUUUAUUUAUUGAGUAGUUUAAGAUGGAUGAAUUACAGAUGUAAAUCGCUGUUGUUCCUUAACUGAAGAAUCUUUCAGGGGGAAGAAAUAGCUGAAUUGACCCAAAAGAGAAGUGCAACUGCUUUAUUCUUUAUUUUUGCAUGGUGUGGAAGGGUAUGAAGGAUUCAAGAUGGGCAGUUCUGUGCUCUGGUGGCUGCUGCUCCUCACAUGCAGCCCUCUCCUCACAGAGACCAAACACAGGAAUGGGAAAUUGAGCAGUCAGUGCUGAAUGCGUGUGAUUUUGAGCCAUUAGGUAAAAAUGAUUGGGGAUUAUCCAUCUCUUCCUCUUUGCUUCAUUAUUUGUGACUGGUACUACAAAGGUUUGUUUCAGUUGAAAUGUUUUGAUUCUCCGUGAUGUCUUUCUUCCACCUGAAGAGGAAAAACUGGGAUGGGGGAAGGCAUGGGAACAGUUAAAUUCAGAGCCUGAUUUUUUGUUUUUAAAGGAGAUAAAACCUCUUAAAAUGGUUCACUUCAGAGACUGAACAUACUUUUCUAUGCAAAUGUGGUAUUUUUAUACCUAAAAAAAAAGGAAAAUCUUUUCUUGAUGGCAGUCAGUUAGUCAUAUAUGUUGUGUGCUUUAUAUAAAAGUAUAACCACAUGUUAUUUGCCACUUUUAUGCAUGCAUCAAAAUAAAUUUACAUGGGAACCU
rnacentral:lncRNA from 1 species